rnacentral:lncRNA from 1 species
AGUAGCUCGUUUGGUGAACGUAAGGUCUGGUAGUCGUUGUAGGAGUGGAGUCGCGAUGGGGAUGGGUGGUCGACGGUAGUGGUUGGUUUGGUUUCUAUUGAGUGAUGGCUGAUGGUGUUCUCUCGUGUAUUAUGGUGCAAGAAGAAGAAGUUAAAUGGUGGGGUUGUUUUUCAUCGUUCAUAUGCGUGUCCCCUGAACUGAUGGCUGCUCUUGUAGUUAAAGAAGAAGGUCCUCUUUAGGGUUAGGGUGUGAGGGUUUAAAUAACAAAGGGGUAAUGGGUUAGGAGAUGGGUUGUGCAAUUUGGGCCUCUUGCAAGAAUACCAUUUGGGCUAAAAAAUCCUACAAAAUUGGGCUAAGAAAAAAAUGCUAAAAUUUUAAUUUACUUCAAAAAAUACUUAUAAGAAGAUAUAAACUAAUUCUUAAUAAACCAUUAAUAUUAAAAUAAAACAUAAAAGCUAAAAAUAAAAUUUGAAUCUAUUUUUGGUAUUUUCAAGGAUUAUAUUAAAAUAAAAAUAGGUUUAAAGUAAUAUAUCCUCCUAAAAAUAUCUAAUACUGGUUAAAUUGAAAAGUUAAAAUAUUCUUUUUGUAUUUUUUUAUUUUAUGAUAAAAAUAAGGCAAAAGAGUCAAAAUUAGUUAAAAAAUCAUAUUAAGCCUUAAUAAAAUAUUUUACGCUAAAAUAGAUAAAAUUUCAGGAAGGGUCAAAAAUCACGUGUCUAAUGCUGCCCCUCUUUGACUGGAAAUACGAAGUAUUUUUAGACAAAGAAUGACUAGACAUGUUUUUUGAUCCCAACCUUAUUUGGAGAGACUAAGCUUAAGAGAAAAGGGAAUAGAAUGUGACGGAGCCCUUGUAUCUGAUCUGCCUACAUAUACUUGGCUAUAAAGGAAUCAGGCCACGUGUAGUUCAGAAGUGAGAAUAGUGGAGUGUACCGAGGUGGAGAGGUGGUCGAGGUACCGUUCCGUCGAGGUUCCGGUCCACGAUCCUGUUGUUACAUCAAAAUCAAAAAGGAAAAAUACUAACUUAGCCUGUCAACUAUGAGUUACAAAAUUCCUAUCUAUAAAUCUUCUGAAGUUAGAUCUUGAAUCUUGAAUAGUUCUUCAUGCAGACUUCAGAUCUGAACCUUGACGUUCACUAGCUGCAGGUGCUAGUUCAUUUUUCUUCAGCUUUUUGGAUCAGAACCGGACACGCCAUGCUUGUGACUUUAGUCAUUUCUUUAUCAAUCCAUUUCUUUUCUUGGCUUCUGCAUUUUGGAUUCACUCUUUUCUGUAUUUUUCUUCUUUUUCUGCUACUUCUAACUUGUAUUGAAUUCUGAAAUAACUUCCCUUGUUCUCCAGGUGGGUGCCUGCUACUGACUUGAAACUUGAAAACUCUGAAAUAAACUCUGAAAUAUCUUCCCUCAUUUUUCAGGUGGGCGCCUGCAAUCAAAACAACAAAGCAAACAAAGUUUUCUUCCCCAGUUUACACUAGGAAGAUUUUUGAGUUGUUAGAAAAAUAGUAAACCACAUAUAUUAUUGAUGCAAUGAUGAGAGUAAGCUAAAGACUCGACUAGGAUGUGCGUCUCAUGUGAGUUAAACCAAGAAAUUUUGACUAGCAAGUGUGUCUGCAAAGAAUAGAACCUGAAUGACCCAAAUUAGGAAGUGCGUCUCCUGAGGAUGAAACUUGAAUGAACCAAAAAUUAGGAAGAGCGUCUCUUAGGGUUAAUACUUGAAUAACUCAAACUAGGAAGUGCGUCUCCUAGAGGUGAAACUUCAAUAAAAAACUAGGAAGUGCGUCUCCUAGGAAUGAACUUAAAUGACCCAACUAAGAAAUGCGUCUCCUAGGGGUAUUUAGGAAGUGCUUCUGCUAAAACAAAUAUAACUUGAAGGCCCAGACUAGGAAGUGCGUCUCCUAGGGGGUAAAAUUUCGAUGACUCAAACUAGGAAGUGCGUCUCCUAGGAAUGAACUUAAACAAAUCAAACUAUGAAGUACGUCUCCUAGUGGUAAAAUCUCAACGACUUAAACCAGGAAGUGCGUCUCCUAAAAAUGAAAAUAUAACUUGAAUGACCCAGGCUAGGAAGUGCGUCUCCUAGGGGUGAAAUUUCAAUGGCUAAAACUAGGAAGUGCGUCUCCUAAAAAUGAAUUUGAAUGACCAGAGCUAGGAUGUGUGUCUCCUAACAAGUAUAAUCCAAAAGACCCCUACUAGAAGUGCGUCUCCUAACGGGUAAAACUUCGAUGACUCCAACUAGGAUGUGCAUCUCCUAGGGAUGAAUUUGAUUGACUAUCAUUAGGAAGUGUGUCUCCUAAAAAUAAAAAUAUAACUUUAAAUAACAAGCCUAGAAAGUGCAUCUCCUAGGAGUAAAAUCUCAAUUUAGGAAGUCCGUCUCCUAAAACAAAAUAUAACCUGAUGGACCCAGACUAGGAAGUGCGUCUCCUAGGGAUGAAGCUUCAAUUAUUCAAACUAGGAAGUACGUCUCCUAUGAAUGAACUUACAUGACCCAAAGUAGGAAGUGUGUCUCCUAGGGGUAAAAUUUGAAUUUAGGAAGUGCGUCUCCUAGAAAAAAAAUAUAACAUGACAGACCCAAACUAGGAAGUGCAUCUCCUAUGGGUGAAACUUCAAUAACUCAAACUAGGAAGUGCGUCUCCUAGGAAUGAACUUACAUGAUCCAAACUAGGAAGUGCGUCUCCUAAGGGUAAAAUUUUAAUUUAGGAUGUGCGUCUCCUAAAACACAAUAUAUCCUGCAAGACUUAAACUAGGAAGUGUGUCUCCUGAAGGGGGGUAAAUUUUAAUGAUUCAAAUUAGGAAGUGUGUCUCCUUAGAAUAAACUUAAAUGAACCAAAUAGGAAGUGCGUCUCCUAGUUGUAAAAUCUCAAUUUAGGAAGUGCGUCUCCUAAUACAAAAUAUAACCAGAAGGACCCAAACUAGGAAGCGCAUCUUCUAUGGGUAACAUUUCAAUUUAGGAAGUGCGUCUCCUAAACAAAAUAUAACUUGAAAGGCCCAGACUAGGAAGUGCUUCUCCUAUGGGUAAUAUGUGAUCUUCUCAAUAGCCUUUGCUCAAGCAGAAUUGGGACAUUACACCUGAAAAAUUCAAGCUUUGAUAUGAACAUAGCCUUCAUUCCUUAAUAUGUGAUCUUCUCAAUAGCCUUUGUGCAAGCAGAAUUGGCACAUUACACCCAAAAAAUUCAAGCUUUGAUAUGAACAUAGCCUUCACUCCUGUUUCAGACAAAGAAAAUUUGUGAGUUUAAAACAUGGUGGUUAGUUUGUGGCCUUGACCUUGAAAGAGGCAGCUUCAGCACUUGCCAAGAUAAUUUUGCAUUGUGCUCAUGAAUUGACAUUUACUGAAUCUUUGCAUUUUACAUUAAUCCCAAAGCAUGUUGAGUGUUACCAACUCAGUGCACAUACUGUUCUUUUCUUACAUAUGCCUCUUUGAUGUGCUAGACAGACUCUGCUUUGUGCAAUUGGAAAGCUGGUAGUAGAUUUUGAAAUCAUUUCUUUACUUGUUCUAAAAAAAAGACUUAAGAAGGGACUCAAGCAAACAUGAGGAACAAAAUAAAGGACAAUGGAAAGAGAUGAUACCUAAUAAGAAAAUUACAAAGUAGAAACUUAUCAAGUGUGGAUACCAACUCUAAUGACCAUGACAUGCACCUUUGGAUUAGGUGGCUUAAUCUCUUAAGAAAGUCUAAUAUUUAGCUCUUGUUUUGCUUCUAAGCUGUGAAACUGGGCUUCAUCACUCCAAUUGUCCUAUUUGACCCACAAUCCUCAGUUGACUUGUAGUGCCCUGAAGGGUUUUCACCAUCAAGCCUCUCUCAUUUUUCUUUUUUUUUAACUCAUAGUCGCCUUACGGUGCCCAUAAGGGUUUUCACCGCUAAGACUCUAUCAUUUUAUUAUUUUCUCUCUAUGCUAAGACCAAAGGUAUUACCCAUGAUGCUGGAAGAUCAUACUCUCACCACACACUUGAUUUGGCAUCCUCAAAGAUUGGUCAGAAGGUCUUUCUUUGGACACGUAAUGUAGGCUUUUGGACAGGGUUAGAAAAAAAGGAUGGUAUGAAGGCUCAAAAUAAUUUAAGAUGAAAAUGGUUCAAAAUUACAACUUUUGGAAUCAGGCCUUUUUGGAAAAAUUAAAACUUCUGCCCCAAUUUCUUGGAGUUUGGGGGAUUUUUUGAAUUUUUGCUUUGAUGGGAUUUCUAAGGAAACCUGCCCAGUAUUGAUUUCGGGGAUACUGAAAUAUUUUAUUUCGUGUGACCGAACCGUGAGGCUGCCUACGUAUCUUGUGGUAACAAGAAUCAGUUCAAACGUAGUUCAAACAACAAAGUUGUUUUUUCCUUUUUAUCUUUCUUUUUCUCUUUUUAUUUUCUUUCUUUUCUUUUUUAUUCCUUUUUCUUUUCUCCUUCUUUUUAUCCUUUUUUUCUUUUUCUUUUCUGCUUCUUUUUUUCCUUUUUUUCUUUUUCUUUUCUAGUUCCUAACUUUAUUUUUGAUUCUAAAAGAGGGGUAUGAAAUAAAAAUUAAGGCUCAAAAUGGGUAACAAAUGGUAAAAGUGUUUGGGUAGCAGAAUAAAAUAUCUUCGUCAUACCAAACUUAAAAAUGCCUAGUACAAGCAUGCAAUUGAAGAUAAGCAAACAAAUCAUACAUAGUAUCUAUUCAUGGCAUCCACACAUACACAAAGUGCCAACGGGCAAUACCUUUAUCCCAAUGAAUGAUCAUUGCUAGUUCGAAGCAGACUUGACUCAACCUUAUCUUAAUGGAAGAAUGCCUUUUAGCACUUUCCAGUUCGAAGCAGACUUGACUCAACCUUAUCUUGAUGUAGAAGAAUGCCUUUUAGCACUAACCGAUUUACCUCAAACUGCUUGAGAGACAUUUCCUUGUUGUAUGCUCUUAUAAACAUCUUCUUUUUCCAAAAUAAUUGCCUCAGUUUCACUCAAUUCAAGCUCCAGCAUUGUCAAAAUGCAUGAAUCUUUACAUUUUCCUCAAAAUCCUCUUUUUAUCAUAUUCAAAAAUGUGCCAUUGUUUCAUGAUAAGACUAACUUUCAAGAUUAAGCUGAGAAUUAUCCGUGCAUGUCAUGUCACUAGAAUUAGCAUGAAAAGAACUAUAAAAUGAAGAAUGGCCUAAACAAAACCGACUAGAAUUAACAGAAAAAAGGAGAUUGCAAUAGACAGAUGAUGAAAAAGGGUUUGCACAAGACAAACAAAAUAGACAUGUGUUACAACUGGAACAACCCUAAAUAACACUAGACGAGUUACUACAAACUAAACGAACUAGACAAAACGAGAAGAAUAAGAGUUUGAGCCACGAGACAAUAUCCAAAUUAAAAUCCUGAAAUAAACCGAACAAACAAGAAAUGACAACAAAAUAAACUACCAAAACUCCUCGCUGCCUAGCCGAGAAAGGAGUGUCUUUUCAAUCGCCAAGCUCGACGUCUUAGCCACUUGAUUGCACAUCAAAAUUUCUAGUACUUUCACCAAUUUCCAUAUCAUUACCUUCAGCCAGCAAGUUUCCAAGAGCAUUCUCAUGCUCCAUGUCAACAUGCAUCUUCCCCAAAAAGCGUGCAUCAUCAUGUGUGGGUAAAGGAUUAUGUGCAAUGUUCUGGGUGUCACUGUCCUAGACCAUAAUUAUCACUUCUUGAAUCAUUCUUUCUAUCUCCCUUUUCAAAGAACAACAAUCUUCAAUGAUAUGCCCUUGGACAUUAGAGUGCUACAUGCACCGCACAGUAGGAUCAAAACCUUUUGCAUACGGGUCUGGGGUAUAGCCGAGGAGCGGUUCAAUAAGUCCAGAUGUUUCAAAUUUUCAAACAAACUUGUGUAGGAUUCUCUGAUUGGAGUGAAAUAAUUUCUUUGCCUUUGUUCCCCUCGAUGCCCCUGUUUCCUAGGGUUUUUGGGUGCUCGAAAAUGUUGUGAAGGAGAAGGAGUAUUAUGCGGUGCUGGUGCUCGCCACAAGGAGUGACCCAUUGGUUGAACAAAUGAUUGGGGGUUGUUCGAGGGAUAAUGCUGAGAUGGAUUAUGUGGAGCCCGAUGAUAGGUUUGGACUUAGGGUCGGCGUCGAGUGUGAGUAUAUUGGUGAGGUGGACCCUUUGGGCCAUGUCGUGAUCCCGAGACAACCAUGGCAACAUCAUCAUGUUUCUUCUGACUCAGCAAGCUUCCUAUGUCGUUCUCAAUUGCCUGUGUUGUGGCUUUCAAGGCAGAAUAGCUCAUGAUCUUGCUCGACUUGAGCCCUUCUUCCACCAUUUCUCCCAUCUUCAACACAUUAUUGAAAGACUUAACAAUGGCUAAGAUCAAGUGGCUAUAGUAAGUGGGCUCUAGGGAUCGAAGAAUGUAUUUAACCAUCUCGUCUUCCUCCAUCGGAGGAUUGACUCGUGCAGGUAGCUCCCUCAAUCAGAACCCAUAUUCUCUAAUGCUAUCACUAGGUUUCUUUUCCACGUUGGUCAAAGAUAGGCAAUCCAGGACGAUGUCUAUGUUGUAUUGAAAAUUUUGAGCAAAAGCAUGAGCCAAAUCAUCCCACGUGUACCAUCCGCUGGUGUCCUGGCGGGUAUACCAUUCUAGAGCUGCCCCACUCAGACUAUGGCUCAAGUACGCCAUCAGUAAUUCAUCUUUUCUCCCAGCACCUAUCAUCUUACUGCAAUAACCCCUCAGAUGGUCAAUAGGAUCCCCAUGUCCAUCAGACAAAUCAAACUUGGGCAUCUUGAACCCGACAGGAGAUUGGACAUCAAGGAACAAACAUAAAUCUUUAUAAGCAACAAUCACCUGGCUUCCUAGCCCUUGCAUGUUUCUCAAUGAUUGCUCCAGACUCUUUACCUUCCUAAAUAUCUCCUCCUGCUUCGCGUUCUUGGGCGGUUUCUCAGUUUCAACAUGAGUAUCAAGGUGGGAAGUAUAGGAAUAAGGAUCCGGGACAUUGAAAGUGGGUUCCGGGGCAUAAUAUUAGGUAUCUGGGGGCCGGGAAUGCGGUAGUUUUGACUGGUGGAACAUGAAAAGUUUCGGAGGAAGUGCCAAGGUAAUUUUGAUAAGGGGUAAAGCAUGUGUGUGUUGUGGCGAGAGAUCAAUGGUAUUGGGCAUCUGGGAUUGUGAGAGUAGCGAGAUAGUUUCAGGGUGUUCAGUGUAGUUAUUGGGGAAUGAAGGUGGAGGAUGCCCCCUAAUUCAAGACUGAUGCAUUUCUGCCAUCUGCUGUUUCAGCCUAAUCAACGGUAUUUGGCAUCUGGGAUUGUGAGAGUAGAGGGAUAGUUGCAGGGUUUUCAGUAUAGUUAUUGGGGAAUAAAGGUGGAGGAUGCCCCCUGAUCCAAGACUGAUACAUUUCUGCCAUCUGUUGUUUCAACCUUUAGACCUCCUCCUUUAAUUCAGAUUCCGACCCCACAAUCUCCUUCGAGGGGUCGGCAACUGUUGUAUCCAUGUCUUUGAUAGCCAUGGUUUUCUUGCUUUUUGACCUUGUGUUGUAUGGACGAAUCACCAAAGUGCCACAAACUAACCACCACCCUCUGUUAUAAUAAUGAUGGAAGUAACAAAGGAGAGCAAAAAAUAGCUAACGGGUUAGCGUUAGAGCAUUUAGCAGAUAGAAAUACCACAUUGUGUGCCAUGCCUUGGCAACAAUUAACGGUUCUAGAAUGGCUUCGAGGGUACAAAAGUCAUAUGACAUCAUCCCAAUUUCACUCUUUUUGCCUCAUUUCCUUCCUCUUCAUCCUCUUGCUUUCUAACAUCGAUUGAUUUGUCAUUCAUAUCACCCUCUUUUCUUUCUGAUUAUCGCUUCAUUUUUUCACAUUUCUCAUGCCCACAAUUUCAUCUUUUUUUUUCUUUUUUUCUUUUUUUUUUAAAAAAAAUGAUUCGAUCGAACCCUAUGUAGGUUGCCUACGUAUCAUGUCCCUCAUAAAUCAGAUCAAGCAAAGUUCUUGAAUAAUUGAUGGAUAAAUUAAACUAAAAUAAAAAUCUUUUUGGAUUUUUCAUUUAUAAUAAUAAUUUUCUUUUAUUUUUCGAAUACAAAAUUGGAAGUAAUAUAACAAAAGACUCGAUAUUACUGUACAAGACUAGAAAGUUAAGACAAUAUGACAGACUAAAAACAUAAAAAUAUCUAUUAUCAGCUCCUAAAUGCAGUGGUACUGGGGUAUUUAUCAUGCUCGAACUCUGGUAAAUGAAUCCUUACCUGAAUGAGAAAAAUAAGACCAAAUAGAUCAGAUGACUAGAGACACUAUGUGAGACCGCACCCCAUAUAGGACACAUGCACGACAAGAUUAGGCUAUUAUUGAAAAUUAACCUAUACGACCAAGAGUGGCCAUUACUGCAAACUCAACAAAAAUGACCUCAUGGACAUGGCAAAUGACUAGCUAAGACUUUCAUGGAUUCAAACUCCUAAUAUCAUGGCCCAAAAAUUAAUUUGCAGAAAUAAUCCAUUUUGUAAAAAUGGCCGAUAUGGCAAGAAGUGGCUAAAGAUGCAAACUCAAAAAGGCAAGACCUUAAAAUAAUAUGACAUCUAGCUGUAGACUCAAAAUCGUAAGACAUGGGUUAGUGAACCACUUUUGCGAAAAUUGCCCUAUUUUGCAAGAAUGAUCGAUGUUGCAAAAAAUGGCUAGACAUGCAAGAUUUGGCUGAGAUUCCACAAAGCCAAGAACCUAAGACACUAGGAAGACCAGACUCUAUGUGGGUUGCCUACGUAUCUCACCCUGGGAGACGAUAAUCGGGUUCGCGCAGUUCGGGAAGAUUAAAUAUAGGAUAGAAUUAAAAAUAAUGCAUCUAAUUUGAAAAAAAAAAUCUUUUUGAAAAAAAUGAUGAAAAAUAUAAAAUCUUUUUGGAAUUUUUUUCUUUUUUUUAAAAUAUUUUGUAAAGUGAUGAAAAAUGUAAAAUCUUUUUUGGGAUUUUCAUUUUAUACUUUUUUGAGUUUUUGGAAAAUAAUGGGAAAAUAUAAAAUCUUUUUUGGAUUUUUCAUUCUAAUUUUUUUUUGAAAUUUUGAAAAAUAAUGGAAGAGUGUAAAAUCUUUUGGAUUUUCUUAUUUUCAUUUUUUUUAUUUUUGGAAAAUCAUGAAAAAAAAAUACUGGUGGGCCCUACUUUCUUUAUUUUUCACCUUUCUUUCAUAACAUUGGUUUGUCAAAUAACCUUUUUACCCUCAAAGAUGCAACAUUUAGCACAUAGGAUGAUUAAAUAUCAUUUUGGGCCAUAAGAUCAUUUUUUACAUAAUUUAGAUAGGCCUCCUAUAACAGGACACGGUGCCUAGAACCGAACCCUGCUAGGUUUCAAUAAUAUGAUGCACUUAAGUACGACUUAAAGGAUGACCUACGGUUGAGGUUCACUAGACAAGGCAAUUCGGGGCGGCACGGGGUCGAUGGCGGCUGCUCUAGCUGUCCGCCCACUGUACGCUCCCACGCCACCCCCUAAAGACACGGGUGACUCACAAAAGACCGUGUACGCUCAAACGUACUCCGAAAGACUUGUUGUAGAAAGAAGACCCAUGGUUAUGCAAAAUGAUGAUAAUUUAUAAAGCAGUAACACAUGAAGGAAAAACUAUAAACAAAUAAGUAGCUAGCAAAUAAUAAAAAGACAUAAACAAAAUAAAAACCAAAUAAAACAAACAAAAUACAUAAAGACCUCAACCGAAAAUCCUGUAAGCUAACAAGAUCAAAUAUUAGCUCGAACCCGCAACUCCGCAGCAGAGUCACCAGAGAUGUCACACCCCUUUAUUUUUUACACAAACUUCACUAAACCUUCUUAAAUAAAUAAAAGGAUUUUAAUAAAAGCUUGGAAAGGGUUUUUCAAUUGAAAAGUGAUAAAAAUUUGUUUCAAAAGGAUCAACUCAGAGUCGCCACCUGACAUUUGAUUUUGGUGUGCCAGGUCACCGGUUUUUAGAAAAUAUUUUUCCUUGUAAAACACUUGAACUCAAAACUAAGUCUGCACCAGAGAUUCAGGUAAGGGGGUUCAUUUGACUCGGGGAGAAGGUGUGAGGCACUGCCCAAGUCUCGUAACUAGUACGGUUGCGUACUCGAUCUAGUUGGCUUUUAAAAUAUUCAAGUUGAGGCAAUAAAAACACACAAAAGAAAGUAAACAAUCAAAAAGGUUCGAGGUCGUCCCCACCUAGUAAAAAACUUUAACAGAAAAAGAAAAAAAAUCCUAAACUAACAUAUACUACGACUUCUCCUGCAUGCUCAUCAAGGCCUCCAAAAUGUUUUGAUGGUUCUUUGGGUCAUACCCCGGAUAAUAAUAUUUACAAACUUCACGGGGCAUUCUCCGGAUGAAUUCAUCUACAGGACAACCUCUCACCUUACGUUCAAACAUUAUAAAUUAAACUAAAUCCUACGGGUUUGCCUACCCAAAUGUGGUCGGCUUAAGCAUGCUCCUAACAAACAAAAUAAUAAGAGCAAAAUAAAUAAAACUAAAGAAGUAAAAAUUAAUUUCAUGCUCACUCUCUUUUUAACAUUUCAUUUUUUAUUAGACCGAGCCAACACUUAAAGCAUGUGAAUAAAUUAAACACAAACGGGCUAAGUCUUUUCCCUUUUCCCACGGUCUAGUUCCAUUCCAUCCCAAAAAAUAAAAUACUUUAUAUACCGAACAUGACAAAAUGAGACACCUCAACAUACAGGGAUCCAAGCAUAAGAAAUGGGAACAGCAGUAACAGAAUUAAAAAGGUGAAUUAAAAUAUGGUACUGGCCAUCUUAUUUUUAUAUUCAAUUCAAAACUGACUUCUACGUGAGUGAGAAUUUAUUUUUUCUAAAAUCUUUAAUGGAUGUUGAAGAAGGAAAAUGAAAUCAAUUCCUCAUGGUAAAAAUACAACCAUUAGCUUAACAAACAGAUUAAAAUUUUAACACAUAAAGCCUUGCACCAAAUUUGAAUAAUUUUAUCACAAAUACAUUAUUCAAAACAGCAAAUAACUAUAGGAAAGGAACAAGAGAAGUGACCUUUAACUAAAUUUGAAAUUCAAAUGCCUAGAUCGCUUUGAAGCUCAUAAGCAACAAGAAAGCGAACAAGACCUCGGCAGGAGACAGACUGACGAACUCGAACACUCUUAUCGAUCAAGGAAAGAAACGGAAACUACUUUCAUAUAUAUAUUAGUUUUUUUUAAUAUUUUGGUUUAGUUCCAAAACAAGAUGAAGCAGAUCCUUUGUUUUUCAGUCACUGAAUGUUCCAUACAGGUCUGCGAGCAACAGAGAAAUGAAGCAGUAGCUCGUUUGGUGAACGUAAGGUCUGGUAGUCGUUGUAGGAGUGGAGUCGCGAUGGGGAUGGGUGGUCGACGGUAGUGGUUGGUUUGGUUUCUAUUGAGUGAUGGCUGAUGGUGUUCUCUCGUGUAUUAUGGUGCAAGAAGAAGAAGUUAAAUGGUGGGGUUGUUUUUCAUCGUUCAUAUGCGUGUCCCCUGAACUGAUGGCUGCUCUUGUAGUUAAAGAAGAAGGUCCUCUUUAGGGUUAGG